rnacentral:rRNA from 1 species
CCUACGGGGGGCAGCAGUGAGGAAUAUUGGUCAAUGGGCGGGAGCCUGAACCAGCCAAGCCGCGUGAGGGCAGAAGGUACAGCGUAUCGUAAACCUCUUUUGCCGGGGAGCAAGGGCGGGGACGUGUCCCGGCCCGGAGAGUACCCGGAGAAAAAGCAUCGGCUAACUCCGUGCCAGCAGCCGCGGUAAUACGGAGGAUGCGAGCGUUAUCCGGAUUUAUUGGGUUUAAAGGGUGCGUAUGCGGGCUUUUCAGUCAGCGGUAAAAAUUCGGGGCUCAACCCCGUCCGGCCGUUGAAACUGGGGGCCUUGAGUGGGCGAGAAGAAGGCGGAAUGCGUGGUGUAGCGGUGAAAUGCAUAGAUAUCACGCAGAACCCCGAUUGCGAAGGCAGCCUUCCGGCGCCCUACUGACGCUGAGGCACGAAAGUGCGGGGAUCGAACAGGAUUAGAUACCCGUGUAGUC